rnacentral:rRNA from 3 species
AGGAAGGAGAAGUCGUAACAAGGUUACCGUAGGUGAACCUGCGGUAGGAUCAUU